UGAGACAGGUGCUGCAUGGCUGUCGUCAGCUCGUGUUGUGAAAUGUUGGGUUAAGUCCCGCAACGAGCGCAACCCUUAUCCUUUGUUGCCAGCGAUUCGGUCGGGAACUCAAAGGAGACUGCCGGUGAUAAACCGGAGGAAGGUGGGGAUGACGUCAAGUCAUCAUGGCCCUUACGAGUAGGGCUACACACGUGCUACAAUGGCGUAUACAAAGAGAAGCGACCUCGCGAGAGCAAGCGGACCUCAUAAAGUACGUCGUAGUCCGGAUUGGAGUCUGCAACUCGACUCCAUGAAGUCGGAAUCGCUAGUAAUCGUAGAUCAGAAUGCUACGGUGAAUACGUUCCCGGGCCUUGUACACACCGCCCGUCACACCAUGGGAGUGGGUUGCAAAAGAAGUAGGUAGCUUAACCUUCGGGAGGGCGCUUACCACUUUGUGAUUCAUGACUGGGGUGAAGUCGUAACAAGGUAACCGUAGGGGAACCUGCGGUUGGAUCACCUCCUUACC
rnacentral:rRNA from 1 species